GAAGUGGGGAUGACGUCAAGUCCUCAUGGCCUUUAUGUCCAGGGCUACACACGUGCUACAAUGGGCGGAACAAAGGGUUGCAAUACCGCAAGGUGGAGCUUAAAUCUCAAAAAACCGCUCUCGAGUUCAGAUUGGAGUCUGCAACUCGACUCCAUGAAGGCGGAAUCGCUAGUAAUCGCGGAUCAGCAUGCCGCGGUGAAUACCGUUCCCGGGCCUUU
rnacentral:rRNA from 1 species